ACAUCAUUUGGACCGUCAGUCUACCGAGCAAUUUCACCCCCUCAGUGAAAGAUUUUCUCUUUAUCGU
rnacentral:pre_miRNA from 1 species